rnacentral:rRNA from 1 species
AUGUCCAUUGCUCCAAGGGAGAGACACGAUGCGCAUGUCCAGUUCGCCUUGGAGCGUGGACUGCCCGCGAUGAUUGGAGCGCUCAGCGCUCACAGGCUGCCUUAUCCUUCGAGGUCCUUCGACAUGGUGCACUGCGCUGACUGCCAUGUUUCAUGGACUGCUCAUGAUGGUCUGUAUAUGCUGGAAAUUGACCGUCUUCUCAGACCUGGUGGGUAUUGGGUUAUGUCUAGUCCACCCAUCAGCUGGAAAUCACCCUACAAGGGCCCCAACAAAACAAUCGAGAACCUUGAUGGUGAACAGUUAGCUACAGAAGAUACUGCAAAUAAGCUUUGUUGGGAAAAGGUGUCAGAUAAGGGCACAGUUUCUGUUUGGAGAAAGCCUAUUAAUCAUCUCCAUUGUGCCCAGGAAGCAGAGUUCUUGAAAUCACCACCACUCUGUACAGAAGAUGACCCAGAUAGUGCUUGGUAUGUAAAUAUUUCGAUGUGUAGAACUCAUCUUCCAAGAGUGGAACUUGUUGGUGAUGUUGCUGGCCGCCGCGUGGAGAAAUGGCCUCAAAGACUUGCUGCAGUGCCACCAAGAAUAGCCAAUGGGGAAAUUAAGGGGAUGUCCAUCCAGGCAUACAAACAUGACUGUUCAGUUUGGAGGAGAAGAGUUGAACUCUAUGGAACAUAUUUGAAAGAUUUAUCUCAUAGGAGUUACAGAAAUGUCAUGGACAUGAAUGCUGGUUUUGGUAGCUUUGCCGCUGCCAUGUUGAAAUACCCUGUUUGGGUCAUGAACGUGGUUCCUGCAAAUAUAACAGACAAUAACACCCUUGGUAUCAUCUAUGAGCGCGGCCUGAUUGGAACAUACAUGGACUGGUGUGAAGCUUUCUCUACUUAUCCACGUACAUAUGAUCUGAUACAUGCUAAUGGAGUAUUCAGCUUGUAUAUCGACAAGUGUGGUACCCUUGACAUACUGGUCGAGAUGGACCGAAUUCUCCGGCCAGGGGGCGCGGCAGUAAUCCGGGAUGCAGCUGAUGUUGUUCUGAAAGUGAAGGAGGCUGCUGAUCGCCUGCAAUGGCGCAGCCGGGUUGUCAACAUGGAGGAUGAGGGCCCAGAUCCUCAGAAGCUUCUCAUCGUGGACAAUUCGCUCCGACUGCCAGGGAGCUAG